rnacentral:rRNA from 1 species
GCCGGCAGCUAGCUCUCUGUAACUCUCACAUGGCCGAGAACUGAAGCUAAGCAGGCUGCUCCGGGUCAGUACCUGGAUGGGAGACCACUUGGGAAAGCUAGGUUGCUGUCU